GGCUAACGCUGGCGGCGUGUCUUAGCCAUGCAAGUCGAGCGGACUUAUGGGGUAACUUAUAAGUCAGCGGCGGACGGCGGAGUAACACGUAGCUAACCUACCCUCUGGACGGGGAUAACCUACCGAAAGGUGGGCUAAUACCCGAUGUAGUCAUCCUGUAUAGGGGUGAUGAAAGGUGGGCUUCUGUUUACAAGCUCAUGCUGGAGGAGGGGGCUGCGGCCUAUCAGGUAGUUGGUAGGGUAAUAGCCUACCAAGCCGAUGACGGGUAGCCGGCCUGAGAGGGUGACCGGCCCGAGGGGCACUGAGAUACGGGUCCCACUCCUACGGGAGGCAGCAGGCUAGAAAUUUGGGCAAUGGGGGAAACCCUGGACCCAGUGACGCCGCGUGCAGGAAGGAGCCCUUCGGGGUGUAAACUGCUGUCGUGUAGGGAGAAGGGUACUAAGGUGAACAAUCUUAGUACUUGACGGUACUACAGGAGGAAGCCCAGGCUAACCUCGUG
rnacentral:rRNA from 1 species